rnacentral:rRNA from 1 species
CCUACGGGUGGCUGCAGUGGGGAAUAUUGCGCAAUGGGCGAAAGCCUGACGCAGCGACGCCGCGUGAGGGAUGAAGGUUUUCGGAUCGUAAACCUCUGUCAGAAGGGAAGAAGUUGCAUGGGGCCAAUCACCUGUGCAUUGACGGUACCUUCAAAGGAAGCACCGGCUAACUCCGUGCCAGCAGCCGCGGUAAUACGGAGGGUGCGAGCGUUUAUCGGAAGUACUGGGCGGAAAGGGCACGUAGGCCGUAUGUCAAGUCAAGGGUGAAAUCCCACGGCUCAACCGUGGAACUGCAUUGGAAACUGGCAAACUGGAGUGUGUGAGAGGGUGGCGGAAUUCCGGGUGUAGGGGUGAAAUGCGUAGAUAUCAGGAGGAACAUCAGUGGCGAAGGCGGCCGCCUGGAACAAAACUGACGCUGAGGUGCGAAAGCGUGGGUAGCAAACAGGAUUAGAUACCCCGGUAGUC